CUACGGGUUGCAGCAGUGGGGAAUAUUGGACAAUGGGCGCAAGCCUGAUCCAGCCAUGCCGCGUGUGUGAAGAAGGCCUUUUGGUUGUAAAGCACUUUAAGCGAGGAGGAGGCUUACCUGGUUAAUACCUGGGAUAAGUGGACGUUACUCGCAGAAUAAGCACCGGCUAACCCUGUGCCAGCAGCCGCGGUAAUACAGAGGGUGCGAGCGUUAAUCGGAAUUACUGGGCGUAAAGCGCGCGUAGGCGGUUUGUUAAGUCGGAUGUGAAAUCCCCGGGCUCAACCUGGGAAUUGCAUUCGAUACUGGCAAGCUAGAGUAUGGGAGAGGAAGGUAGAAUUCCAGGUGUAGCGGUGAAAUGCGUAGAGAUCUGGAGGAAUACCGAUGGCGAAGGCAGCCUUCUGGCCUAAUACUGACGCUGAGGUGCGAAAGCAUGGGGAGCAAACAGGAUUAGAUACCCGAGUAGUC
rnacentral:rRNA from 1 species